GACGAAGGAUGCAGGCGUUAUCCGGAUUCAUUGGGGUUAAAGGGAGCGUAGGUGGCCUUAUAAGUCAGUGGUGAAAUCUCUGGGCUUAACCCAGAAAUUGCCAUUGAUACUGUAGGGCUUGAGUAUAGUUGCCGUUGGCGGAAUAUGACAUGUAGUGGUGAAGUACAUAGAGAUGUCAUAGAACACCGAUUGCGAAGGCAGCUGACGAAACUAUAACUGACACUGAGGCUCGAAAGUGCGGGGAUCAAACAGG
rnacentral:rRNA from 1 species